AAGCUACACUCUGUGGCAGAAGUCUGCAAAGACCGUGAUCUGUCUCAAUUUGAGCUUUGCUACAGAAACGUCUGUCCGAUCCGCUGAAGUGUCCGCUCCUCUUGGACUCUUUCUGAUGAGAGGACAGCGACAUU